rnacentral:rRNA from 1 species
CCUACGGGUGGCAGCAGUGAGGAAUAUUGGUCAAUGGACGAGAGUCUGAACCAGCCAAGUAGCGUGAAGGAUGAUUGCCCUAUGGGUUGUAAACUUCUUUUAUAUGGGAAUAAAAUGUUCAACGGGUGGGAUUUUGUAUGUACCAUAUGAAUAAGGAUCGGCUAACUCCUGGCCAGCAGCCGCGGUAAUACGGAGGAUCCGAGCGUUAUCCGGAUUUAUUGGGUUUAAGGGGAGCGUAGGUGGAUUGUUAAGUCAGUUGUGAAAGUUUGCGGCUCAAGCGUAAAAUUGCAGUUGAUACUGGCAGUCGUGAGUACAGUAGAGGUGGGAGGAAUGCGUGGUGUAGCGGUGAAAUGCUUAGAUAUCACGAAGAACUCCGAUUGCGAAGGCAGUUCACUGGACUGCAACUGACACUGAGGCUCGAAAGUGUGGGUAUCAAACAGGAUUAGAUACCCUUGUAGUC